rnacentral:misc_RNA from 1 species
CCGAAAUGCAGCGGGGGCAGACGGCCGCGAGGUCGCCGGCCGCCGCGUACACGCAUUCCACCACCCUUGACUUUGAGCACCGUUAUGUUUCCUCGGCAGGGACGCCUGCCAGCGGGGACCCAUCGAACACUUGCAGUAGCAGUAUUUGUCUGAAAUAUACACAAAAAUCA